UGGUCAACUUUAUAAAAGAAAUCAACGUAAAACUUUAAAGACAAGCAAACACUACGAAAUAGCCCGCGUGGCAUUUUCCACUUUACCAAUAAGUGGGCGGCCAAAUAAUUCCACAAUACCCAAGGGUAUCGUGGUAACUUAAAACCAAAAAAAAAAAAAAAAAAAAAAAAAACGUAAACAAACGAAAAAUAACUAACAUAAAAUAAAAGAAACGUAAUGCAACAACAAAAAAACAAAUAAACGGAUAACUCCCUCAAGCUACCCGUACGAAUACGGAUGACUGUAAAAGGAGAUUACAUACAUACGUGCGGACGGAUAGAAAUUGUGACAUCGGACAACUGCAUGGGAUUUUAGCUGUUGAUAUCCCAGGCGUACUCACCCUGCCUGUAUCCAAAGGCAAAAUUUUUACUGGAUACCCUAACAUUAGGCCGUGCUGGAGCUAUUCCAUGGCAACGAAAACUUAAAUGGGGCGGCGCGUGGGACCCUGCAGGUACAGCUCACAUCAAACAACACAUGGACGACAGGCGCAUGGGGUCUCUGCCUUGUUGCAGCUCAGACGCAAACAACAGGCACGGCGCGUGGCCAAGGAACGGACUCACCGGCUGAUGGCGCAGACUGACGUGGUUGCUCCUGCUACGAUGCAGCUAUUGAUGGCGGUGCGGAUGACGGUGUCGCUGCCGUUGUUGGAUUUGCUGCUACUGUUGGCUGUUGCUGUUGCUCCUGUUGCGAUGCAGCCUGUACUGCUGUUUAUGAGGGCCGCUGCAGCUGCUGCAGUUCCACCGUUGUCCACGAAACUUGGCGAUAUGCCGGAAAAUAUGCCAAGGAACGAAAGGCAUUAAAGCACCGGUCAGCACAUUCAAAUGGAUAUAUAUAUGGUUCUCAGCUAACCAAACCAAGCUUCAAAUUUCGGCGCCUCCCGUAGCGCUGCCACUUUGCUUUUUUGUGACCAACCCGAUGCAACACCACCGCAAAUAUCCGAGUGGGCGACCCGUCGCGCAACGAAGCGAUAUUUGCGCGCACCAAACGGCUGGUUGUUAUCCUCCUGAUUCGAGUCCGGCGUUGCCUCGGUGACUCCUUCCGCGGCGCCCAACGUAGGCCACACCCAGUCUUGGCCAUCUGGACCGCUCCGCUGCCAUCCUGGUGGGCACCUGUGUUGACCGCGAUUCGCCCACUUGCUCCGCACUCCGACGCCAAUUUCGCACUGUGCUGCUGCUACGGCUAGCUCCACUAGAGGAAUUAGUUGCCACUGUUCUUGCUACCGGACGCGAAACGCUUCUCGCUAGUGUUAGAGGCUCGGCUUGGUAUUGCGGCGGCCGUUUCGGAACUGCGCCACGAUUCUGGCUGACUGGCGGUUGCCACGUCCCAUUGGCAGCUGAAUCACCGCUAUUCGCUCGCGGUUGCAAGAUUUCUUUGAGCGCGCCCAUCAAGUCAUGGAACCCCAUUCGGAUUUUCUCCUGCAACACUUUGUUGAUGCCCUCUUUCUGCGAUUGGCGGUAUGUCUCGUUCGCCUGUGCCACUGCCGCUUCUACAGCCGACGCGACUGCUGGCUCAGCGUCCCAGCGUACCGCUGAUGCUAUGAACGCACAGUGGUUCCGCCCAUAGGCCAAAAUUCAAAAAAUCCAUGCGAAAAAAAAUUUACAAACGGUAAACAAACUGUCUCUAAAAUGUCCAAACUUUUCUAGUGCAAACCGGUUUUUUCUGGAAUUCUAACGGGACUUUCUAAAAAUAGCAUUGAAGAUGUGAACACGUGUUCAUUUUUAAAGCGCAGCUGCAUGCUGGGAGAAUUGUUCACAACAAGGGCGAACUUUAAAUUGGUCAGUUUAUUAAUUACGUUUCCGAAUUUAAGUUAGUUUUAAUGGAUUUCAAAGUUAAAGGUAUUUAUUUUAAAUUCGAAAAUUAAUAAAAGUGUCUUCUGUUGUAGUUAUUUUAAAAUUAA